CCAGCACCCGGAAAAAUGGGAUUUUUCAUCCUUCUAAUUUUCGCUGUAGCAGCUUUGGAAGGUGCCUGGUCCCAGGCGCUGGUGGAGUCCGGAGGGGAUGUGAAAAAGCCCGGAGACUCUCUCCGUCUCUCCUGCAAAGCCUCCGGGUUCACCUUCAGCAGCUAUGCCAUGAGUUGGGUCCGACAGGCUCCCGGGAAGGGACUGGAAUGGGUCACUGCUAUAAGCUCCGGUGGGAGUACAUAUUACCCUGAUUCAGUGAAAGGCCGAUUCACCAUCUCCAGGGAUAAUUCCAAGAGUGAGCUGUAUCUGCAAAUGACCGGCUUGAAGCUCGAGGACACCGCCCGCUAUUACUGUGCGAGACACAGUGAGGGGAAGCUGGUCUGA